rnacentral:ncRNA from 2 species
UCCAGUUCUCAGGGCGGGGUGAAACUCCCCCCCACCGGCGCUGACGGGUCAAGACCCGAAGCCCGCGAGCGCCUGUCACGGCAAAUGUGUCAGGGUCAGCAGAUUCGGUGCAAUUCCGAAGCCGACGGUCAUAGUCCGGAUGAAAGAGAACGAGG